rnacentral:rRNA from 1 species
UACGAAGGGUGCAAGCGUUACUCGGAAUUACUGGGCGUAAAGCGUGCGUAGGUGGUUUGUUAAGUCUGUUGUGAAAGCCCCGGGCUCAACCUGGGAUGCAAUGGAUACUGGCAGGCUAGAGUGCGGUAGAGGGUAGUGGAAUUCCCGGUGUAGCGGUGAAAUGCGUAGAGAUCGGGAGGAACACCAGUGGCGAAGGCGGCUACCUGGACCAGCACUGACACUGAGGCACGAAAGCGUGGGGAGCAAACAGG